UACAGAGGUGGCAAGCGUUGUUCGGAAUUACUGGGCGUAAAGGGCGCGUAGGCGGCCUUGUAAGUCCUGUGUGAAAUCCCCCGGCUCAACUGGGGAACUGCACAGGAGACUGCUUGGCUUGAGUUCGGGAGAGGGAAGCGGAAUUCCCGGUGUAGUGGUGAAAUGCGUAGAUAUCGGGAGGAACACCAGUGGCGAAGGCGACUACCUGGCCUGUUCUUGACGCUGAGGCGCGAAAGCUAGGGGAGCAAACGGG
rnacentral:rRNA from 1 species